GUGCUAAGGUAGCAUAAUCAUUUGUUAUUUAAUUGGUAACUGGCAUGAAAGGUUUAACUAACUUAUUAGGUUUGUGAGAUUAAAUAAAAAGUUAAAGUUAAGGUAAGAAUUCUUUAAUUUUCUAGGGGACGAUAAGACCCUAGAAGCUUGAUAAAAUGGUUUUUUUUUGUGUUAAAAGUUUAUUUAUUUUACUGGGGCGGUAAAAAUAACUAAGCUAUUUAUUAUUUGAAGGAUCCUUAAAAUAAAGAAAGAACGGGAAAGUUACUCUAGGGAUAACAGUGCAAUAUUUUUGGAUAGACCUUAUUGAUAAAUAUGUUUGCAACCUCGAUGUUGAAUUAAAAUGUCUUUAUAAAGCAGAAAGUAUACAAGAAGGUUUGUUCAACCUUUAAAUUUUUACAUGAUCUGAGUUCAAACCGGAG
rnacentral:rRNA from 1 species